rnacentral:ncRNA from 1 species
GAUUUCUGCCCAGUGCUCUGAAUGUCAAAGUGAAGAAAUUCAAUGAAGCGCGGGUAAACGGCGGGAGUAACUAUGACUCUAAACCGGAAGUGACUCACCCAACCGCUGUUACCUCUUACCUUGUGCUGCCUACCACUGCCUGUGCCAUGGUUGCUGUCUUGGGUUUAUGCAAAUGCAUAAACCCAAGACAGCUAAAUAGCUAACCAAGUCUGUCUUUCACAGAUACGCAU